AUUGAACGCUGGCGGCAGGCCUAACACAUGCAAGUCGAACGAGUGGCGGACGGGUGAGUAAUGUCUGGGAAACUGCCCGAUGGAGGGCGUUAACUACUGGAAACGGUAGCUAAUACCGCAUACCAUCGGUUGGCCCCAGAUGGGAUUGGGUAGGAGGUGGGGUAACGGCUCACCUAGGCGACGAUCCCUAACUGGUCUGAGAGGCUUACCAGCCACAAUGGAACUGAGACACGGUCUAGACUCCUACGGGAGGCAGUAGUGGGGAAUAUUGCACAAUGGGCGCAAGCCUGAUGCAGCCAUGCCGCGUGUAUGAAGAAGGCCUUCGGGUUGUAAAGUACUUUAAGCGAGGAGGCGUUACUCGCAGAAGAAGCACCGGCUAACUCCGUGCCAGCAGCCGCGGUAAUAC
rnacentral:rRNA from 1 species